rnacentral:rRNA from 1 species
GACGAACGCUGGCGGCGUGCUUAACACAUGCAAGUCGAACGAGGUCCAUGGAGCUUGCUCCGGAAGACCUAGUGGCGAACGGGUGCGUAACACGUGAGAAACCUGCCCCAGACUUGGGAAUAACAGUCGGAAACGACUGCUAAUACCGAAUACCUUCACACCGUCGCAUGGCGGAGUGAAGAAAGCUCCGGCGGUUUGGGAGGGUCUCGCGGCCUAUCAGCUUGUUGGUGAGGUAACGGCUCACCAAGGCAUCGACGGGUAGCUGGUCUGAGAGGAUGAUCAGCCACACUGGAACUGAGACACGGUCCAGACUCCUACGGGAGGCAGCAGUGGGGAAUAUUGCACAAUGGGCGCAAGCCUGAUGCAGCAACGCCGCGUGCGGGAAGAAGGCCCUAGGGUUGUAAACCGCUUUCAGCAGGGAAGAAAAUGACGGUACCUGCAGAAGAAGGUGCGGCCAACUACGUGCCAGCCGCCGCCGUAAAAC